AAGGCAUUUAUUGGGAAGUGUUCCUGGGAUCAAUGCUUGUGGACAAGACCAGCCUAGUGAAGGGCAAGAGAGCCAUUCGUAUCCGUCAGGUGCCCUGGGGAGAUGGCGAGGUGGAGGAAAUGCAUUCUCCGAUCGUGCCACUGUUCUUAGAAGGAAAUACGAUUCCCUUCAUGAGAAGGAUUCCAAGAACUGAUUGAUUGUGGCAAAGGCAGGGUCUGCCUAUACAUGCCUGGUUGAGCACUGUAAAAUGGAAACAAAACAAAACACACCUCAAUGAGAAAGAGGGAGAAGAAAAGAAGGGAGGAGGUGGAGGCUGUUUGGAACCAGGAUUGAAAGAUGUGUUCAAUUAGAGCUACAUCAAAAAGCCACAUGAAGCCCAAGAUAUGAGACAUCUGAAAUUUGUCACGUCAUUUUCCCCACCACCAGCACCCGGGCACAGCCUCAUUUGUCUUGGUCCGUGAAGCUCAAGGAGGCAAGGCACUCUGGCUUCAGCUUUAAAAGUCUUAUAUGUUGAUGUGUAUCCCAUGACUUCUAAAGAUAAAGUGCUGUUUCACUGGCAUUACUCACUUGUGUCAGAGGCUUUCUGGUAAAUUCUUCAGGCCCUCACCUUGCGGGAAAAGACAUCAGUUUGCCACUUCCUAUGAAAUGGGCUGUCCGUAAUGCUGUGUUGUAAUCUGAUUGUCGGGAGGCCCUGAUGGAUGAUAGUCGUGGACCAGGUUCGAUGACAGUGCCCAGAGGCGGACCCUGAAGAGAUGCUCCAAAAGUUAAGCUUUGCUUUCAUUUGGCUCUAAUGUCAGUUCAGUAGACAAGUAGUAUCUGACUCCGAAUCACCAUUUUUCAAAUUGUCUAGGUGUUUAAUCCAAAAGUGCAAAACAGUUUCUAGUCGCCUGAAGGCACGGAGUGGCUAGGCAGGAUUCUUGCACCUAAGAAACUUCUUGUCUAAUAGGUAAAACAUGAAGGAGAGCCUUAUCGUGAUUAGACCGUUCAGGAAUGUUCACUGAAUCAACCAGAGAUGGUGCUGGGAUUUGCAGAAUGAUCAUAAAGGCAAGUGAAAAGAAACCGCACUAACAGCAUUAAUGGAGCAUCCGUCGGACCAUUUGAGGUAGAUCGGUGGUCUUCCAACUUUUUUGCAUGCUACCUCCUUAAGAGAAUUUUUUAAGGUGGUAUAUUUCCUCCUGUUUCUGAUGCCAGUGUGGAACAGUCCAGAGAAUUUGCCACUGAGGGGUGGCUACACAAGCAGUUUGCAACGCUGAUUCAUGAGAAUCUUCGGAUGCGAAAGAAAACCAUAGUUGAUUUAUUACAGUGCAAGGAAACUUGGGUGUGUUUCUUUAAACUCUGGGAUAAUGAAACACUAGUUAAUAUUUAUGAAGCACCUGCCAUGUGCCAGGCCUUAUCCUAAGCUUUUGGUAUGGUUUAUCUCAUGUAAUCUUCACCUUAUGGAAACAUCAGGUACUAGAAUUCUCUCUUCCUGUCCAGAGAACUGAGGAGAGGCUUAAAUUGAAAGAAGCAAACAUGGAACCUAGGCAUUUGGCUCCAGAGACCAUGUUCAGACCCUCUAUGGUCUCCUGACCCUUUCAGAGGCAAAGACUUGCCUCUUCCCAAUGUGGUCUCAAAAGAGCUUUUGGCCAGAAGCUGAGAUGCGACCUUGAAUCUCUGUUUUCCUUCGGAGCUGCGUGCAUCUCUGAUGGCAGGGCUGCUCCAGCUUUCUGGGCAGGGCCAUGGCCAUUUAUGGUUAGGGUGUACCUGGACUCCUCGGCAAUCUGUGGUUUCAACUGUGCAUGGCAAGUGUUUCCUUAUGGGGCUGGGUUUGUGGGAACAGGGGAAACCUCAUCUCUGUCCCCUGAGCCCGAGGGGCACAGUGACAUUGUAAAAUUGUCAGAAUGUCCCCUUGACUGAACUGUACCUACACUUGCCUAUAGAAUCUGUCCUUGGUGGUGAUUCCCUUCAGGACUUCUGGGCAUCAUUCACAGUAAAUCUGACCUGGGAGAGAAAAGGGGGGAAAAAAAGGAAAAGCAAACAGGAGAAAUGGUAGCUCUGUCAGUUUUCAAAAUGUAUAACUUAACGCAGAACCAAAUUCUUCUUGAAGCAAAAACUGCAGAGUCACAGCUGUCGCUGGGGGAAAAAAUGCAAGUUUAGAGAGCUAAACUCUUAUCCUCAUGUUUUGAUUACAAUUGCCUUUGGGCCAAGUUCGCUCAUUAGAUACUAAUACAUGUUUUCCAUCGUGUGCAAAAAAGGCUUUAUACAAAUUCCAUUUCCCAGAACUCCGUGAAUGAAAUGGAAACCCCCUGUUUCUGGUUGUGGAAAAAAAACCAAACCAAGACAAAACCCAAGAGCCUCCCUGCUCAGUGUUUCUCCGAGGACCCCCUGGUUUUGCUAGGUGGCGCCAUAGGCUCACGGAUGGGCCUUUCUCAGCUUGCCGAGUGGCCACCUGUGGGAUAGUAGGAAUGAAGAGAAGGAAACCGGCUUCAGCUUCUCUGCUUCUGUCCUGGAGAAGACCAUCAGCUCCACUGACAGGAGGAACUUUCCCAGACAGAAAAUCUUCAGACAUUGGAUCUCAGUUGCUGGAAGGUGCCCUUGGAUCCCUUGGCAUUUAGAUGAAAGAGGCUGAACACAAUGUGAUUGGCUCCGAGACCUGGGGAGGCUCCAGCUCUCCUCAAAUAUCCCCCCUGCUAUUAGAAAUGAUCCAGUUAAACCUCUGAUGUUAUAGAAUUAAGAAAAUAAAUCAAGGCUAAGAAGUGAAGUGCCUGGCCCAAGAAACUCAGCUGAAGGGGAUUUUGGAGUCCUUGAACAACCAUCGCCCUGUUUUUUUCCCUUAAACCUCCCUGCCCUUCAAAUGCAAGGGUUUAUAUAGGUUGUAAUAACUGAGUGAAUACAUCAAAAUGAGGAAUCUGAACAUGGAGAGCGAGGCAUACCAGGCUCAAGACAAUUGUCCAGCCCGGUGCCAGCUACUGUCCUACACGCCUCUGUGCCCUGAUGCUUAGCCACCUAGAACUCUUUCACAAGACCUUCAAAGUCCUGUUGCCUGUCUCCAUGCCUUUCUGCAAGUCACCUGGAAGGCUCCGACCCCCAUAUUCGGUGAAUUUCAACAUAUCCCCUCAAAAGCUGAUAUACCAUUGUUUUCUGAGAAGCUUUCCUAUUGGACACAUCUCUUCUCCCUCCAGUGGCGCUGAUUGCUUCUUUUCUGUAGAUACUAGUAACAGCGUUGAAAAUGAUUGUUUUGAUUGUAAACAUUCAUUGAGUGUUUCAGUAUGCUCAGAAUUCUAUUAAAUGCUUUAUAUUCAUUACUUUUCUUAAGCCUCAUGAUAACCCUAUGGAACAGAUGCCAUCAUUAGAUUCAUUUUACAGAUGAAAAUUGUAAGUAAUUUGUCUGGGUCCAGUGGCUCGUAGGUGGCACAUGUGUAGUUUAAACCUGAUAUCAA